GAAGUGCGAUAAGCAAUGCGAAUUGCAGAAUUCCGCGAAUCAUCAGAUCUUUGAACGCAAAUGGCGCUGGAGGGAUAUCCUUCCAGCAUGUCUGUUUCAGUGUCUGAGAGGUUUCAUACUAAUCUUAAUGUGAUUGAUGGUUAGUGUAACUACUUCGGUAGUCGCACCAAAUCAUCUCUCAUGAAAGAUGCGUGAUUGGAUCUUUCGGUCCAAUGAAGUGGUCACAUCACUCGUAUGUGAUUUCAUUGGGAAAUCACCGAAUUAUUCGCAUACUCACAGUAUCAUAAAAACAAAAACAAAACUUCCAUACCCUGCAUCUGAGAUAGGCAAGAUCACCCGCUGAACUUAAGC
rnacentral:misc_RNA from 1 species